UAGAGCUGGCAACGAUGACACUGCCCGGG
rnacentral:sRNA from 1 species